ACUCGAGUGGCGAACGGGUGAGUAACACGUGGGUGAUCUGCCCUGCACUUCGGGAUAAGCCUGGGAAACUGGGUCUAAUACCGGAUAGGAGCCAUUUUUAGUGUGAUGGUGGAAAGUUUUUCGGUGUAGGAUGAGCUCGCGGCCUAUCAGCUUGUUGGUGGGGUAAUGGCCUACCAAGGCGGCGACGGGUAGCCGGCCUGAGAGGGUGGACGGCCACAUUGGGACUGAGAUACGGCCCAG
rnacentral:rRNA from 1 species